GAUGAAGAACGUAGCGAAAUGCGAUACGUAAUGUGAAUUGCAAAUUCAGUGAAUCAUCGAGUCUUUGAACGCACAUUGCGCCCCCUGGUAUUCCGGGGGGCAUGCCUGUCCGAGCGUCAUUGCUGCCCUCAAGCACGGCUUGUGUGUUGGGCUCCGUCCCCCCGGGGACGGGCCCGAAAGGCAGCGGCGGCACCGAGUCCGGUCCUCGAGCGUAUGGGGCUUUGUCACCCGCUCUGUAGGCCCGGCCGGCGCCAGCCGACAACCCAUCAUCCUUUUCAGGUUGACCUCGGAUCAGGUAGGGAUACCCGCUGAACUUAAGCAUAUCAAUAAGCGGAGGA
rnacentral:misc_RNA from 1 species